rnacentral:rRNA from 1 species
UCCAGACUCCUACGGGAGGCAGCAGUGGGGAAUAUUGCACAAUGGGGGGAACCCUGAUGCAGCGACGCCGCGUGGGUGAAGGAGCGUUUCGGCGCGUAAAGCCCUAUCGGCAGGGAAGAAGGAGGACGGUACCUGACUAAGAAGCCCCGGCUAACUACGUGCCAGCAGCCGCGGUAAUACGUAGGGGGCAAGCGUUAUCCGGAUUUACUGGGUGUAAAGGGGGCGCAGACGGCAGCGCAAGCCAGGAGUGAAAGCCCGGGGCCCAACCCCGGGACUGCUCUUGGAACUGCGCGGCUGGAGUGCAGGAGGGGCAGGCGGAAUUCCUGGUGUAGCGGUGAAAUGCGUAGAUAUCAGGAGGAACACCGGUGGCGAAGGCGGCCUGCUGGACUGCGACUGACGUUGAGGCCCGAAAGCGUGGGGAGCAAACAGGAUUAGAUACCCCAGUAC